CAUCCCCCCCCCGACCGCUGCUCCGAGCCGGGGCGCUGCGGGGAGGGAUUCCGUUGUCACGAGGGGCGGGCUGCCGGCCCUGUCCUCAGCUGAUCUUCACGCAGGGUGUGCUCCCGGCUCGCCCCGCCGCUCCCUCCCGGUCCCCACGGCCCCGUCUCCCCGCGCCGUGCUGUGCCGCCCCUCGGCCGUCCGCGGACGUGUCCCCGGCGCCCCUCAGCCCGCCGCAGCCAGCGGAAGGACGCGGGGGCACGGCGGAGCGGCGCCGGGGGCUGAGCGGGGCGGGCUGCGCCCGGGAGCGGCUUAGCGCGGGGUUCCAUUUUGCACCAGUCUGCUUCAUUUCAUGUGGCAGCCCCAUCAGAUCAGAGAAGUCAAGCAUUUCUGGAUCACAUCAGAAUUGUAAUGGGAGAGAUACCAAAGAGGGCCGAAGCAAGCAGAAAACAGGGAUGAGGAUUCAGCAGUGGCCUGCUCCCUUUCCAGUUGGCUCCGCAGCACUGCCCUUCUUGGCUGCUUCCUCCAUGAUGGGUGGGCAGGAUCCUAAAGAAGCAGAUGAUUCCUUUUUUCCUCCAAGUGAACUGUAACUUCACUGAAUCAGGGAAAUCACAUUAGAAUUACUCUGAGGAUGAUGUAUCCUACAUGGUUAGGUCCUCAGAUACGUAGAGGAACGCUCAGUGAGUCAGCCCUGCAAUUUUUGGUGGAGUAGGUCUAUUCCGGUGUGUGGGUGUUCACAGAACAAUUACGUAAGUGUCAGGGUAGCAAGGAACUUUUGACAUUUCUGGCAGCUGAACUGAGUUCUUUUCAGUCAAAAAUAUUGUAAUUGUUGUUCACUUGCAUUAACCACACAUCAUUGCCUUAAAUGGAUUUGGAGGGGUUGGGGCAUUUUUUGAAGCAUCAGUUGUCAGGGCAAGAUACUGGAGCGGUUUUAUUCUUGAGAAAACAGGAGAUUUUUCACAGUUACAGUGAGACGAACAUUUGUGAGAACCGUUUUAAAUCAUAUAAGAGGGUGCGAAAGUUGCCAUGCCAUAUGCCUGGAAUUUACUAUGUUAGAGCUAAUUGCUGCCACCGAAUGUAAGGGCCCGUCAGCUUCUUCAUCAUCACACCCACUUCGACACCUUUUUUUUUUUAUUUUUAUUUUAAGGGUUUUUUUUUACUUUUUUGCCUACAUAGUUUUUGGGCUGCAGAAUGAUAGUGCAACCUCCAUGCUAACUCCUAACAUGCCUUACAUCCUGUAUUCAAGGUGAAUAGGUUAGGCACCCCACUGACAUAUGGCGGAUUAUAUUCCAGGGCAACUGCUCUUCUACAUUUGUUACGCAGGGAAACAAGGAAAACUGGUUUGUCUCCCCAGAGCAAGACACCUAAAUUAGUCAGGCUAAAUCAGUGUCCAAGUGACAUUUUCAGGGAAGAUUUCUCUCUAAAGAUCAAGUAGGAAAGAAACAAAACCGGAUAACUGAUUAGUUUCUUGUUUGAUCCAAGUUGUGCCUUUGCAACCAGAAACCUCCCAUCAAACUAGCCAAUGGAUUUUUUUUUUCUUGGUUAAGUAUUAAAUCUUUCAAGUGAUCAUGACCUUGAAAUACUGUCUGUUUUUCUACACAAUACCGUAAUGAGGCAAGUCAUAAAUCUGAGUGGUGCUGGGCAUCCAGCUGACACGCCUGAGUGAUCAACCAGGAAAACAGCAUUAGUGUGUGGCUGCUGGAUAGUCAAGAAAAGAACUGUAGGAUGCUUUUCACCCAAAAAAAAUAGAUUUCCUGGAGUCAGCCCCAGAGAAGGGCUGUGUUACUUGCUCUCUGGGGACAGAGGCAGAAGAGGAUCCAUGUGUAGGUUCUUGCAUACAUUGGCUUUGUUAGUAAAUCCAAUCCAAUAGAUUGGAAGUAUGUGAGAUAAGGGCUCUACCAGUGACAGUACAUGGUGAAGAAUCACUGAUGUAACCUGUGUUCUUUGAGCUCCAACUAAUUUAUUUUUGGACAGCAAUUUUCCCAAUUAGUGAGGACAACUUAAGCGUGGAUGUUCCAGCUUACUAAUAUGUACUUUAUGCCAGCUCAGACUCUUAGCAUAAGGGGGUUCAUUUUAUCACUUGCCUCUGAAAUUAGAAGACUCAUACUGAAUCUGCAGUUGCUGCAAUCAUCCAAUUGCUUCUCCAAAAAUUGGAAAAUUCUGGAGAUCUGCAGUGUGAAUCCACAGCCUCAUAUCACUCACAGCCUGGUGGACUGAAGGGAUUCAUUGUUCUGAUGUGUGCAGGAGGAAUUGCUUAAAUCCAAUGAGCAAAAACAAAGGGACUUUCAGUGCCUCAUACUUCCUCCCCAGGAUUUGUGCAAAGUAAAUAAAGGAACUAAGUCUUCUGCAGUGAGUACUCAGGAUGAGAGCACUCUUCACUGUAGCCCAGUGCUUUCAACUGCCACCCGCAUCAAUUCACGUAGUUACUCAGAGAAAAUUGGAGGCAAAUAAACAUGAGUUCUUGCAUAGCAAGAGCUCUCUAUGCUCACUGAUAAAAUUUGUCUCUCUUAGGUUCAGACACAGACUAAUUAUUUUAAAAUAAUUGCUCCCACUCCUUUGAGACUCGUUGAGAACACACGCAAUGCCUCUGCUAUAUCAGGUGGGCACAAACUCUUACAUCCGCACAGAGGGAGGUCACCUACCCAUGUUGCUCAGCUAAGCGCUGACAGCCAGGGUGCCUCAGUGUACAACAGGAUAAUUUCUUCGAAGGAUUUUAUUAACUGGACUUUUUUUUUUUUCUGAAAAUCUCCAAAAAUAAAUGUGUGAAGGCUGCAUUAUUAAUCAUUAAAGCUAGGAGAUAUACUGCUAUGGGAAAACACUGAUUACAAUCUUCUAAUUGCCAGAUAAAAAUCUGCCACUCUCCAUUGAGGAAGUAUCACUUGAUUCAAUCACUUGGCUGCUCUUUGUCUCAGCUGAGUAAGAUGAUCAGUAUUCUCAAGCUAGCAGCUGGACUGGAAACAAAUAGAGCAGCAGAUAUUCUGGUUGUAGUUGGAAGACAAUUGUAGGUAAAUUGACCCAAUUCUCUUCAUUUAUUUGUUCCAUAAUAAAUAACAACUGUAACAUUAAAGUAGUAGCAAGGAACAAUAGCAAAAUUCACAACCAUUAGAAUAGCAGCGGUCUGUGCAGCAAAACCCAUUUUAAACUGCAGUGCCUCACCUCCCCAUGAGUGGUGUUAAAGCAGUUUUUUAAGAUUAUCUGACAUAGUAAAGGCAUCAGCAGUGCCUGGGAUGGAACCCAGGACGUUGAUUGUCUAUUUUCUUUUAUAAGCAUAGUCCACAUUGAUUUUGCAACUGAGUCACUGCAAAAAUGUAUUGCAUAUUGCUUUAGAAGGCAGAUGAGGCCAAAAUUACAGAGAAAUUAACCAAAAGCUUUUUAUUCUCAGGGCUUGGAAUCAAUCAGGGGUGCUGAUAAUCCAUUAAGCUGCAUUCAGCACAUCUUUUUCUUUUAGAAAGAUGGGGAAAAUGAACUUCUGACCAUAGACAGCGGAGAUGAGAUGGGGAAGACAUGCUGGGAGGAUGAGGUCCAGCUGUGGCACAGCGAGGCCCACGCAGAGGUUACAAGGUGACCCCAACACUUUCCCUACAUCAACCUCUGUAGGUCUGUGCAGCUCCAGCCCUGUGCCCCUUUUCUGACUCCUUCAGGAUUUCCUUCAGGGGCUUUCUUAGCAUAAGAUCCAUGUUCUUCUGAAAUUUCUCAUAUGUUUUCAGGGUUUUCAUAAGAACAUGCAGCCAGUAGUUUCUACAGAGUGGUCCUUGGGCCAGGGUGAAUUUUACCUUCCAAGAAUUGGGGGUUUUAACUGAAACAAUCCAAAGAUCAUGUCAAAGAAUUUUUUUAUUUUUUUUUGCCCUGCUGUCAGUGACAUUUGUGAAUGAUGGAAAACCAUCCAUAUGGCUAAACAGACUAUCUCCACUCCCCCACAAGUAGUGACUUAGAGGAUGAAAGAAAUAUUCAUCCUGAUCAUCUGUUUUGUAACAGGAUAUUUAUCUCAAGCUUUCAAGAAUUUCAUUAUUAUUGGGGAGGAGGGGAAUGGGCAGUAAGGCUGGAUCUGUAAUAGAUUAUUGAUGCUGGGAAGUGAGUAAGCUGUAGGGCAGGAAACCUGCCUGAGCCCUGCUAUUGCCCAGGGAGCGGGGCUGUGGGCCUGCGAUAACGCAGGGAGGAGGAAGAAGGAGAAGAAGAGGCAUUAUUAACAUAGUCAGUUUGGAGUCCAAGGAGGAUAAGUGAGUUUUGAAAAAACCUGAGGGUCCUGAGAAAAGGAGGGAGGGGGAUAUCUCUAAUGCGUGGGAAGAGAGGACUGUUUAGGAUAGAGACCAGGGACAGGGCUGUAAAUCUGUUUCUGCAGGCACAUCUGGGAAAGUUCACCCUGUUGCACUGCAGGGAGAUUGAAUCUCAGCUCUGUGCCUCUAGUCCAGUUAAAGCAAAUGGCUUAACUGACCUGCACCAUCCCAGUGUUUGUGGCCAUCUGAAAAUGACCUCAUUUGAACUCUGGUUCUGAACUAAGGUGCAUUAAAAUUACAAAGCUCUUUGCUUCCAGUCAGGACUUCCAGGGUUGGUAUUAAUAGCUUUGGUGAACUGUAGUCCAUUGAUUUAAAGCACCUGUGCUUCUGCAAGUCAGGACUUCAUCAAUUUUUUUUAUCACUUACACAGGAAGAGUGCUGGGCUUAAUGCUAUUUAUCCAGCUGGACAUAUUGACUUUGACUUAGGAGAUCAAAGCAUUUGGGUUAGGGAUUGUGUAACAUCUUCGUAUAAGAACUGUCAGGGGUAAAUUUACCAAAGGCUGAAGCUUUGAUUGAUGAUCAUUUUGCAGGAGUGUUCAGCAUAAGGAAGCACAUAAUAGACCAUUUCUCUUAAUGGACCUGCAAGCCACAGCACCUUUAAAUAUACAUAUUUUGAAACAUAUUUCGUCACCUCCUGGAACAUAACAGUACAUAAAAACUCUGGAAGGUACCCUUGAAAGUGAGCUUUCCCUAUGUGAGUAAAAGGCUCCAAGGAGGUGGCCCAAGACCCCUUAAGAUGUGGGAGCCAGUAAGGAGAAUGCAUUAGUUGUCUUUUUUUUUUUUAUGAUUUGCCAUUUGUAAUAGCAGUACUCCCCAAUAGAUAGGUGGCUGGAAAGUGCGAGAUCCAGUGCUCACAGAUUCAGUUCUCUGCUCUGGAGCAGAACACAGGCUGGCAUACAGAGCGAGUCUUUCCUCUUGGGUGAGGUGAAAGAGACCCAACUUCUAGUUCCAGCUUAAGGCAAGGCAUGCCACCUUCUUUGGAAUUACUUUUCCCAUUUAUUAACAAGUAAAGGGUACUAAAUACACUUGUUAAACACUCAUUUUUUAUCACUGAUCACGGGGGUUUAUUCACAUCUUCUAAUUUACAAAAUGCAUGUCAAUGGCCACCAGCUUGGAAGGAACACUAGCUAAGAGAUACUAGCUGCCCUCCCAUGAUCGAGAAUAUCUUCUACCGAAAGGCUAUUCUCCUAUCUCUGUCUCAAAGUAAGCCACGCAGGAUACCUGUCACAGACUCACUGUAAUUAAAACAACAGCAGCCCCCUCAUCACAGGAGGUGUUGGCUACAUGGAUGCACUCUUGUUAGUUGCCCUUGCUACAGUUGUAGGAUUAACAGAAUUAAAACAGGUGGAAUAUGCCGGAGAGUUGUCUGAGCUUUUCUCUUAACAUUAAAUUUAAAGCCAACAAGCUAUAUAGGAUUAGACUAGCCUUAUUACUCCAUCCAUGGGUUUUAAAGCCAUAUUCAGCAUUGUCUCUGUCCCUGGAGGUGUUCAAGAAACAUUUACAUGUUGUACUGAGGGACAUGGUUUAGUGGUAAAUAUUGGUGAUAGGUGGAUGGUUGGACUGGAUGAUCUUAGAGGUCUUUUCCAACCUUGGUGAUUCCAUGAUUCUAUGACUGUUGCCAGGUGCUCCUUUCGGCAAGGUGCUCUGAGCACAGGCCCUGCCCAGCAGCACUGCUCUGGCUGGUCCCCUCCCAACAUCUGCAGCCAGCCUGCUCCCACCCGCAGAGGAGAGGGCACUGUCAGUGGUGGGAAAGGGGCUGGCUGCUGCCGCCACUCUGUCUGCGACUUGUAGCCUUCGUCCUGAGUGUGCCACAGUGCCUUUUCCUUUCCUUUCUUUUUUUUUUUUUUUUUUUUUUUUUUUUUUUUUUUUUUUUUGCCGCAGACAAACAAACACAACCUACAUAAAUGGGGUGCGGACUACGUGGCUCAAGGACUCAGGAUGAUUAAAAGCUGGAGCCAUACAGAGACAUCCAGAAAUGAUUGUUUUUAACAAGACAGGAACUUUGUCUGAAAACAGGAUGACCUGCUACAAAAGACGCCAACAAAUCCCCGUAGAGCUUUAGAAAAAACAAGCAGGCGCCUGAGCGUGCUUUAAAAAAAAAUCCUGCCUGGUAAUAAAAAGGCAUGUAAGGGUAAACAGGAAAAGAGCACUCCACACUGCGAGCAGCCUGGAGGAGGAAAGGCUGGGAAGAGCGCUGAUCUGAAAACCUGAUAUGGAAACUGAAGAGAACGAUUUCUUCAUAUCCCUGCUACAAACUCCCUGUGCAAACACAAUGUUGGGGCAGCUGUGAGCAGCACUUGCCUGCCAGUUACAUAGUGCUUUCCUUCCAGUCCCUUCCAGUGAAAGCUGUGGGACAGCAGCAGGCGCUCCGCAGGUGGUGUUAGUUUGCUUCAGUGGCUGUACAGCAACGUCAUUUCAGACUUCCACGAAAGAGUUUUUUCUAGUGCAAAACUUUAUUUCCUGAAGGUAAAAUGACUGCAGUUCAGCCCACCUGUGCUGCAUUUAUACAGCUCUCUCCCAGUUUUAGCAUGAAUCUCUUGACAUCUGUUGUGUUUUCCGCUAAGCCUUGGCUCCAGAAGUCUUGUAAUUUCAUGACAAUCUCAUUCUUUACAUACAUAAAAUAAGUCUUUCUAGCCUUCAUGACUAAAAAAAAAGAAAAUCUUGACAUUGUAAGGACAGCUCACGAUAAUGCAUAGUUCAAAACCCCUAUUACUGCUAUUUUUGAUGCUGAAUUUUAAAAUCAAAUGCUGUUUUGAACAAUUAGGAUACUGAUAGACUUCAUCAUUCUGACAACCCCUGCUUGUUAGCAGAAUCUGCAGAUUGAGCUCCUAAACACGUUUCCCACUGCAUCCUGUUUGCCACCUGCUAGGGAUCCAUGACAGUGGCCAUCAUGGUACGUACUGCGAGCUCCUGUGCAGCAGCUUUCUCCUUUGUUGUGUUCCUAAGUCAAGCACUGCCUCAGCACUGAUAUUACAGCCUGUCACAGCCUUUGCUCACACGUGUCCAGAAGCAGUUUCUGCAGCAGCCGUACAACCCAUGACUGGAAAAGGUCCAGCCCUCAGGCACAGGGCCCAGCCCUGCAGAAGGGCAGACCAGCGGCGUGGCUUCCUGCUGCUGCACAGUGGCUCUCAGCCCUGAGGCAGCUCCUCCUGCUUGGCUGAAGAGGGUCCUGAAGAAAUGCUGCAGUCCCAGUGACUUCCAUGGCCUCACAGGAACCCAGGAGACUUGCAGAGAGGCUUCUGGAUCGCUUUCCUCAGGAGCAGCCCUAAACUCCUUGGAACACGUGUCACAUGCUGCAUUUGUCUCCUGUGGGGCCCUAUGUCCCUCAGAGUGUGGCUGCCACAGGUGCCAGGCGGUGCCCAGGGAGGCACUGGCGCUCCUGGGAGGGAAGUAGGGAACGGAGUCUGAUGCGUGUGAGCUCUUCAGAAGAUGGAAAAGACAUUAGUCUCCACCCUCUUCUAGGUAUUGCCUGAAGGCUGAGGAGGAGCUGCUUGUCCAGCUGCCCCCAGUGCUCCCAGCCUGCUGGUGGCCUCUCAGGAAGAUGGGAUGUGUCUGUGUGGGUCAAGUGUCUCCAUUUAGUGUAGUCCAAAUUUGAGUCUAUUUUUUCCUAAGUAAGCAAGGAAAAGGCAGCAGCAUGUACUUUCCCUUUCUGAGGAUGCCAGCAUGUCUCUGCCCCAAGGUUCUGUCGCCCGUAGGAGAAAUGCCUUCUGCUCAUGGGAUCGCCCAUAGUCACGCUGUGCCAGGGCCCUGUGUGCUCAGUGGCCUGGGGGCACCCCCUGGCCUGGCCUGAGUUAGGGAAGGGUUGGGUUCAAGCUUUCUCAGGUAACCCCAUACUCUGGGCAUGGGUUUCUAUAGUCACUGCUUCGGUAUAACAUAGACUUGCAUUUUCUUCUUUCCUUUAGUAUCAAUGAAGGGUGAUUCACCAGUGUUAAUGUACAUGAUUUUCCAUAGAACUUAUUAUUGACCAUUUUCCAUGGCCUGCAGCACCCUUCAGCACUGUACUACUUAAUAAUAAUUAUAUGAUCAAUGCAAUGAUUGGACAAAUUUCCAGUUUCCAAGAAGUGAAAUUAAAACUAAGUAAUUUUUUAUUAUCCUCAAGAUGGAUAGCAAUGCCAGCUGCUUUGUCCAUUGGCUUCGUAAUGAUCAGCUUCUUACAUGCAUGAUUAACAGCAUGUGACACAAGUAUCUAAAGCAGCAUGCUUUGGUUUGCCUCUAUACCUUCCAAACUACCCAUGCACACAAAACACAAAACCUCUUUGCUAGUGUGUAAGUGAGCAUUUCUACAGAAGGAUCCUAAGAACUUUGUUCUUACAAGACAUUUGUGUCUUCUUCGGACAAGGAAAGACAUAAUUUCAUCUGCACUGGUCUAAGAAAAAAUAAUUCUAAGUAAACGUGUCAAGGUGGUGAUGACUUGAUUUUAAAAAGAUGUAAAGUAAGUGCAGAAGAUACUUAAAUAUAUCACUAAAGGGGAAAAAAACAUAAUUCCUUCUUCAUAAGAAAGAGACACCUUAAACUCUUCACUGAAGUGAAUGCAAAUUGGGUGAGUUAUCUCAGGUCUCCAAUUCAUCUUACAAAUUGUCAAAGGAGCAGAACAGAAACAGCAUCACUCAAGAUCUAGCAUGGAAGAAAAUGUUUCAUUUAUGUUCAAAAAUGGCAAGUUCAGGGCAGUUGCUUAGAUUUCUGCAACGUUUUUUUCCCCAUCACUUUAUAAUGAAUGAGAGGUAGUAGCUUCUGUUUGUUGCUUUUUAUUAGAACGGUAGACCCUGUGGGGAUACAAGACACUGCAAGACCCUAUGAGCCCUUUUGUGUAUGUGUUAGUGGACAUUUAACUCUUGUGAAUUUAUCAUUCACUCCAUACUCUUGUGAAGGAUUCAUGGAGGAUUGAUGCCCCUAGUGCAGGACAACUUACUCUUUAAUGGGUGAUGAAGUCAUGUGCUAUUUUGCUUCUGCCCAGCGGGCUCUCCAGCUUGGCCGAGGACCGCUCCCUCAGCAGCUGCCAUCUCUGCACCCUGCACAUGCCUGGAAACACUUUCUUCACAGAAGAAAAGGCCAUUCACAUCAGCUGUUAUGCUGUAAAAAGCUCCUUGUUUGGAGCAGUGGAGGCACGGCCUCUUUGCAAUGCCACCAGCUCCCCAGGAAGAUACUGUCAUCCACUAGGGCCUGCACGGGACAUGGGGAGGUCCAGCCUGGUGCUGGUGUGGAGGGAAAAUCCUCGUCUUGUCUUCACAAAUUUGUUCUUUUUUCACUAAUCACCCAGUCACUCAAUUGAAAUAAAAUACUAGAAAUUUAAUAGGACAGAUAUUAUAUUCUGCAAAGGGACUUCAAGCCAGACAGCACAGGACUAGUUUGAUUCUACACCAGUUGCUAUCAGUGGAGAAAAAAUGCAUCUGGGAUUCUGCAUCUCUAGCUGUCAGUAGUGCAGAAAGAAAUCCUAGCAGACCUUGUGCCAAACAUGUGCUGAGGAGCUCUGAGUUAGCAGGGAUGAUAUUCCAAAGAGAUCGUUUCAAUGAAGCUCUUCUUUGUAUUUCAAAUAGUCACAAACUUUUUUUUCUCACUGCAGCUAUUAUUUUGCAUCAUCCUUGCCAUAUGGAAGAAAAGAAGGAUGCUGUUCUGUUCUGCUGCCACAAAAAAAUGAAAUGUUAUUUGUGUGAUCUUCAUAGCAGAUUAGAACUGGAAAUUUCCACUUUAGUGGGAUUUUCAACAUGUUAAAAUUAGUUUUCAAUCUAGACAAGCUACAGUAGUGGCAAGCUUUUCUAAAUUAAGAAAUUCUCUCCCAAUCAGAUUAGUAAAAUACAUACAGGUUUCAUUAAACUCUACAAACAACACUAAGAAGGAAGGUGUUCUACUCAUCUAAAUUCUCAAAAUAUUCAGUGAGAGAGGAUUCUCAGAGACCAUCAGCACUGGUCUUGCUUGUCUCUCUUGAUCAUUGACUUUUGGGAAUAGAACAUGAAAAAGUGCUUUCAGCUAACCCAAUAUUAAAGCACACUAGUGCAUUGAGUUAAAAAAAAAGAAAUACUGCGAAGGUGUUAGCUGCAGGGAAAGGGUUAGCAUCUCUCCAGUGAUACAUGUCAUCUAUGAUCUGCUGUUCCUGAGCAGCGAGACAUGAUGAUGGAACAGUCAAUGUAGGGGUUACUAUGCUAAGUGUCUGUUUUCCUAACAUUACAAGAUGACAUAUGGAUUUCCUUUACAGGAGGCUGGAUGCUCGUGGUGAUGGAAAUAUUAGGGACAGCACAGGUGCAACUGCCUCUGAUUUUCACAGUAGGUUUAGAUAUGGUUGCAUUACCCUCCCAGCAUGCUAGCUGCAGAAGGGACACACACACUGUGGUGGCAUUAGUGCUGUAGGGGCUUGGAGAAGAGUCAGUUGAGGUGUAGGGCUGAGGCACCAACAGACCUCUCUGCAGAUAGCCUGGCUUUCUCUGCUCUGUUGCAGGCACAUUCAUUGUCAGGAGAGGCUCACAUCCCAGUCAGCUCUGUGUAGAGCUGAUGGUGUUGGGCUCAGCUCUGUAGAGAUGCAGCCAUCCUGCUUUGUGACUUGUCCAGCUCUGGGGACAGCAUAGGCAUAUUUGCAUGGUGCUUUUCCCCAGCCAGCCAUCCCUGCUGGGCUGGACUGAGCUGCAGGAAUCAUUGUUCCCCAGCAUGUUUGUCCCCCUCACACAGCAGUCCAGACCCCAGGAUGAGAAACAGCUUCAGUGAGAGCAGUUGGCAGCAUUACACCUCUGUAAGAAUUAGGUAGACAAAAGUCUGUUGCUCUUACAAGGGCGCGUUUUUAAUAGGGGAGGUUUGACUUUGUAUUAAGGAGUUUAUGUGCUGUGGCCUGGACUGUGCCAGCCCAGUCCCUAAUGGGGGCAGCGCCUUGCCCUCUUCCUUCUUCAUUUCCUAAUCCGACAUCCACAGUGCUGGAUGGAAAGAUGCAAAGCAGAAUGUGAGAAGAUUUAUUAGGGUACAUUAUAGCAGUGCUCAAAAACAAUGCACCAAAUGCAAAAACAAAAAGCAGCUAGCAUAGGAUUGUAUCCACAUGCAUUUUGGAUGCUUACAGUUUAAAAAAAAACAGUUUCUGAGGCAUUCGAUACACAAAAUGCACCUUAUGGCCUUUUCUGGUAUGAAAAUCAGAACAUUUUCUAAGUUUCUUGGCACUGUAGAUGGCAAGUUGCUGUUAACUACCAAAGUGAUGUCACAAGUGGGAAGUGAUAAAUGAGGAGACAAUGACAGCGCUCGGGGGCGCAGACGGAUGGGUUUCCACCACAGUGCAGGGACAAAUGUAUCUUGUUCGGUCCAAAACUGCUUCUAAGUUGUCCAGUGUCACCACUGACUGAAAUAAAGCUGAGCUGCUUACUAGUACAGAGUCUGCAGCCUUUUUCCCAUAGUCUGAAUCUAUACAUUGCAGCUCCAGGCUAAAUCAUGUGUAUCAACAGCAAAUGUAAAAUAGCUACAGAGCUCAGGAGUGCAAGUGACUGGGGAAUCAUGUGGUAAUGAGAUAUAAAUUGUAUUUUUCUUCCCAAACACAGAGGGACUAUUUGAAGAGGAGAGUUUUCCCUGGCGUAAAGGCCAUUUUUGAGUUCUUUUUCUCACUGUUUUUUAGCAUCGUUCCAGUCAGACUAUGAGGAAGAAGGCAGUAUCACCCAUGAAUGACGCAGGAACAACUGGGGAAGAGGGUGAUAAAAUGGUGAAGGAGUUGCUGGGGGAGACGCCUGGGGACACUGGCAGUGUUUUGAGCCAGCUUCUGAAGAAAACCUGGAGAAGUCUGACUGAAGCUGAAGUUGCUGCAUGAGGGGUAGAAGGAAAAAAGGGUGGAUCCUCUUCCCCACGAUGAUGCCAUGGUAAAGGACGACCAAUAGCUGUAAGGAGAAAGAAUAUAUAAUAUAAGGGACCAGUAGAGAAAAUGCUUAGUAAGGGACUGAAGAUGCCAGGCCUUCAUAUGGUCCACUGACUCCAUAGCUAAGCUGUGUCCUGCAGCUGAUGUAUAGCCCUGAGCAGGGAACAGCCUCCUCAUGAGUGGAGUAUAUGAGGCAGUACUUCAUCUCCAGGCCUCAAUGAAGGACACAGAGCAGAGACAAUGUAAUGAUGGGAUGUAGCAGGCACAGACAUGAUUUUUCAUCAUGCUUGUUUACAGUGUGGCAGCUUGACUGGACUUGCUUAUUUAUGUUGCACUGCACAACAUGCAAGCAUUCAGCAAAGAGGCAGGUAUCCAAAACCAAGAUGUUAGUACAGGCUUCAGAUCAAGAGCACGGUGAACUAAACAUGGUCACAAGCAGGCUUUUAAUAUGGUACUGCAGGACAGCAACUCCCGCACUAAAUGAAGAAAGGGGUUGAAUUUGCAGGCAGCUGGCUUUGCAUACUCUGGCUAGGCCCAUCACACUGAUAUUUAUAAACUCUCUCAGUGGGUGACUGAGAGCAGCUCAGGGCCUGGCAAGGGCAGACUAGCUCUCCAGCAUCACACUGCAGGUGAAUUUAGGGGUGAGGUAACUGAGCCAGGCUUGGGUCAUUCAGCAGCAGUCCGAACCCAGCCAGCCAUGCUGGGCACAGCUCUACACGCCUGGUCUGAACGAAGUGUUCCAUCAGGCCUGCCGGAGCCUGGGCAGCCUUCACUAGUCAGGCUUUCUGAAUUUUGUUUCUGAAUAAUAUACAAUAAAAGGAAUUGGACAGACAGGGCAUGCAAGGAGGAGAUAUUUUGUUCUCCUCCAUAAGGAAUCCAGACUACAGCUAAAUUUCUGGAAAUGUGCUUCUUGGGAUCUAACUGUUGCUUCUAAAAUGCUAUGCUAUGACAGGGAGGAGAAGAAAAACAGAUCAGUGACUUUGCUGAUGAAUGACCAAAGCACUAUCAUGACAAAAUGAGCUUUUGGUUUGCCAUAAAGGCAUUAUCUAAGCUUUCAAGGGUUGAUCAAUAAGAAUGCAAAAUCUCUUUCAAAUGAUGUAGAUGAGAAGGAGGGGUACUCAUCAGAAUUAAAGAACAGCUUUUGCUAGACUGGUGUUCCUGGCAGGUUACACCUGCUUCCCACUCUGUGCCUUGCUGCCACUCUGUCUGGAGCAACGUGCUUCUAACAAUAGCUGGUGGCUGGAAGGUACAGAGUGUGCUACACAGCUUGUUUCCUCUUCCUCCCGCCUAAUUGUUAUUGCAGAGCUCCGAGCAAGAAGGGCUCUUUAACGCCAUUAAGUCACAAGAAACUGUGGCUUUGAUAGUGAGGGCCUGAUUUAAUGCAAUACCAACUCAAAGAAAAUAUUUAAAGAGAGAAGAUGCCUUUCUCUAAGUGCUUUGUACUGGAAAGCCUCUGUAUAUACACAUACACUCACAUGCACACACAUCCGGGAGGAGGUGUGUGUCCAGGAGGGAAAUCCUGCCUGCACCAAAGUUAAUGACAAAUGUUCCCACUGACCUUGGCAGGGCAGGGUUUCAGGCACUGUCUGUGUAUGUGGUAAGAUGUUGUGGAAGUGUUCAGGCGUGAUACAUCUGUAUUUACUUGCUAUAAAGGCCUGUGGGAGCCUAAGCAUGCUAGCAACACACCAAAAUACAAAUGGAGAUCAAGAGAUUGUCCCCAGGACAAGGCCCAGGAGUGUUGCCAUGCCUUUCUGCACCACGUGUGAGCUCACGCAGCUUCGUCUGUCUGCAGGCUGUGACAGCACCUUAGGCAGUGACCUUGCUUACCACCAGAGUCUUGGUGGGGUCUUGGUUUGCUUGCUUUUUUUUGGCUUGGUGGCUUUUUUUGUGUUGCUUUCUUGUUUGACUUUUUAACAUAUAUUGGGGUUAGGCUAAAAAUUGUUCAACUGCCUUCCUUACUCUGCUCUCAAAAUAGACAGGAUAGUUUUUGAGGGCCAAUUAGAGGGGCCAGGUGACCCUUGGAUAACCAUAAUCCUGCAUUCAGUGAUUUCACCCUGCUUGAUUUUAUCCUAGGCUGCAUUUUUAGUGUGGCAGAAGGUCAAGAAACCUACUUCUACAGGUAAUUUAGUGGUUAUGAUCUUCGAAACUCCCAUUUAAUGCUGAUUGUAACUCUAUUCCAGUGUUUUUUUCUGAAAUAUGUUUUGAAUUUGUGCAGCUCUGAGCAUCAUUCAGUGAUGUUAUAGGUGGAAACAUAAGAUCCCAGCAUAAUGAACAUAAAUCUGGUUUUCUUGGAGACCUUUUGUAGAUCUGCUAAAGGUAAUUUAGAGACUCACAGUUUAAAGACCUGCUGUAAUUUGUUUAGCUAUAGUGUGCCAAACUUGAGUGGCUAAUUUCAUAUCAGUCACUGAAUGCACUGGGCCAGCCACGUGACUUCCUUAAUGUAAAAUGUGUUUUGUAUUUAUGGGUUACUCCUGUUUGUAACUAUCAUUUUGUAACAGCUGCAUUCUCAGUUUUGCUGCCUUGUGGCACAGCAAGCACCACAAAGCAGAAUCUCCAUGUCUGAAAGGCACUUUCUUCCCUCUUCAUCUUGACAGCACGCGUCUGAGCCAAGGUUCCUUUGUGCAGCACAGAACUGGGUUGAUCCUGACAACCCAGUCAGCUCUCGCUCAUGCUGGAAACCACUGCACAUCCAUGACUGGGACCAGAUUUGGGGCAGUAUGCCAAGUUCUUUUGAGAAUUUGGGCCUGGCUGUAAAUAUCAUAGCUGGUGGCUGCCCACUGCUGAAAGUCUGCUGCAGUAUUAUGGGUGAUGAGCAUUUGGAAAAUCUGGUGCUGAAGACCAGCAGUCAAUUGGGUGAUGUAAAGGAGAGUGGGACAAGGCCCAGAGCUGCAGCACAAGAAAGCAGGAGUGCAUUCAAAGUCACAGACAGUGUCUGUGCAGGAUUCCAAAGACCUGGCAAAACCAAAGCAAAACAUAAGCAUUACUAAAAAAACAUCAGGCAUACCUAUUUCUGCAUAGCAAGUAUAAAACCUUAAAUCACUUCCAAAACAAAAGGUCUGAAUUACCAUUACCAGUGCUCCUGCAGAAGCACUCUGAGCUAAGAGCUUGAAGCUAGAGCCUUCGAGUUACACUGGACAAAUGCAUUCUCACUCCCAUGCAGACCGGUGGCUCCUUGGACAUGUUCCAUGUUUCACUGGAAGAGCUGGCAAUAUCACAAAUUAUUCCAGAAGAAGAAAAGCUGCUGAACUGCUUUAAAAUCAUGUUAAAGAUGUGUACAAACUACUUCCGGAAAGUUAUGAUCAUCUUUAUUUUUUUUUGGUGAAUCUUCACACUUACUCCUCUUUAUAUAGUCUUUACCUUCUCCCUUUGGAGUACCGUUGUAUAUGGAAACCUGCACAGCACAACACAUAAACAUCUGCAGUAAAUGGUCUAUAAAGAUGCAAAGAGCAGUUGUUGUCACUGUACUAACAAAGCAGAUUCUAUCAAAUCUACCUUCAAACAGGGCUCUCAGCUGCUCCUGAGCAUAUCGAGAUGACCCCUACACGUGUUAGCAAUAUGCUACAAUGACAUACAUGUGUUCCUAUGUAGCGGAUUCCAGCACAGGUUUCUUUGUUCAGAAUCACAUUAUGCAUGUGUUUGUUAUUCAUGUUUCUGCUUCCACAACUUUCCUUUGAUGUAAAUUUAAUACAACUUUUUCAUCAUUAUUUGAAACAGAAACAGCGGGACAAAAGGAGCAUCAAAUAUAGGAAGUCCUGAAUUGCGUUUAGCCAAUGAUAUAUACCUUUUCUGUAUGUCAAAGCCAUCAAUAAUGUAUUUUCAGAAGAAAAAUAAAGGUCUUGACUUUUGUUCAGGCUACAGGCUUAGCGUAAGGGUCAGGCUGUGAUGCCAAGACACAGUGACUGCUCAAAGUCUGCCAUAGAGAGUUUGUGUCAGGGGCAGGGGCAGGUUUACAUUUACUUCAGCAGUCCCAGGGACAUUUUUUUCUGAAGAGAACAUUAGCUUCUAAGUCCCCUGCAAGUCCUCUGGAAAAUAAAUAUAUGUAUUUGGAAAGUGACUGGAAAGAUGCUUCUACGAGGGCUGGGAAAGAUGAUCAAUAUCAAUCUGUACUUUCCUCUUUAAGUGUUUCUGAACCACAUCUUCACCUGCUAUUAGCUCACACGGCAUAUGAAGAUACACUCUACUGUGCUUAACCUUUAAACAAAAUUUCUGUGAUUAUUGGCCUUCAUUCCCAGAGUGACUGUGAGAAAUGAGCAGGGCAGAUGGGAGCAGGCUUUCUCAGUUGAUGCUACAGAACAUUUCCAUGAUGAUUUAAAGCCGUGUUAAACAAUAGCUUGUUCACAUUCAAUUGCAGAGCAUCCCAAGAUGCUGUAUGAGGCAGGGAAGAGAACUGAAAUUGCUUUUGCGGAGAUGCUAGGCAUAAUUAAAGGCUCGAGUCUGGAUCUUACAGCUAACAAACUGCUGUACAACAAGGUAAGCGGCUCCCUAAGUAGCUUUUUACAAAACACUAAAUAUCCUGUCAUAACAAUAAAACCUAACUACCCAGCUGCCAGUGAAUCGUGUGCAUGUGGCACUGUGGACAUCAUGUCCACCCUCUCCCCUCAAAUCCAUCCCCUUCUGCUGUUGGAAAAUAGCAAAAGUCCUCCCAGGAGCAGCUGAGAAGUUUAAUAAAAAUAAAUUGGAGCUGCUUAAUCCACUUCUGCAAUCUGGCUGCGCUUGUUCUGAAAAUCAGGACUGCUCCUUUGGCAAAGUGCAGAGUGAAGUGAGAGGCUGUGAGCACGACCUCACAGAAGGGGAGAAAAAAGGCCUCUCACUGUCUCCCCUUUUGACAUGACAGAUAAAGGCAAAUGUGUGAAGGUCUUAAAGCCCCACUGCAGAGCAGGAAGAGGAAAACAAAUGGCACCGCACCAUAUGCCCAUAAUCCCAACUAAAAGGCAUUCAAAUUCAUUUCUCCUCAGCUUCCCUUUUACACACCAGUGAACAAGCGUGUUUGACAACACAGUGUGGGAGUUUCCAGUUCACUGAGCGGGUUUCCUUCACCUUCACUCAGGCUUUCACCUGGAUGUGCUGCUCCCAACCACAAGAUGGAUCCCAGGAGGGCUGGUGGGGGCCAGAAAGGGGAGCCCCCACACACUGCAGCUCACAUGAGGCUCCAGGAGGAAGCAAACUGGGAAACUGGAUGCAGGCUGAAGUGACAGUGCUGGGCUUGGCAGGAAAGCAAUGCCCUCAGGCCCCAACUGCCGCCAUGCUGAGCUCCCUGCCUUUGCUAGGCCCAGAGCCUGCUAUGUGUAAGGAAAGCAUCUGGGGAAGCGCCUUGAAGGAUGGCGGGACCAGCGGCCUUUGGUAGGCUGGAGCAGCAGGCCAGAGCGGCAGGCACAACAACUGAAGUGAUGCCAACCCAUGCUGGAAGAAGAGGGUGAGGGUAAAGUGCUGCAGGAUGCUUGGGAGACUGGAAAAUGCCUUGGAGCCAGGGGGGCCAUGAGCGUGUGAGUGGAAGGCAGCAUGGGCUGCUCAUUAGAGGCUGAGCAGAUUGAGAGCGGGAGAGGAUGCUCGCAUGGCAAAUCAAUUUGCAAGCAUCAAAUUGAUUUAAAAAAAUGCAAAAGGAUGCACUCACCAUUAUGAAUCGAAUAGGAAGAGGAGCAGAUAAACAUGGUCUACGGUUCAUAAAACCACAGUUAGACAGAGAGCGGAACCUUUUUCUCAGGCAAGAUAGCAGGCAAUGUGCCCUGAUGCCUCAUCUGCAGCUUUUCACAUUGCUAUUUUUCACAUUUCCAAAGCAGAACUAAUUAUUUUCCUCCAGAGGUCCUUUCCAUUCCUCUUCAUCCUUCUGUUGACAUAAAAGCUAUUGACUGGACCUAUAAUCACAGCAUUGCUUUUCACUGUUUGACUCUUACUUCAAAUCCUGUUUUCUCCUUUGUAGCAUCUCUGCGAUCUCAACCAAGGAUCCCAAACACUUGCUUAUAACUUCACAGUCUCCAGGUUUUGGGUUUCACAUCCCCCUCCUUACCAUCCUUUUCACACCUCCAUCCCACUGCUUCCUACACAGAGUACAGCUGCCAGGUUGAUGAUACAGAUGCAGAGAUAAAAUCCAAUUCUCCAGAGCUGCCUUAGUAACACUAUUUUAGCGUACAAUCCCAGAUAGUUUUCUCUGUAUGCAUUUUCUCUGUGCUUUCAGGUUCACCACGUUGACUUGGCAUCUUGAGCAGGCGCAGCACCCAAGAGCUGCAGCAGGGUGUUAUCCUCCACCCUUGCUCACAUCACAGGGAAAACGUGUAUUUGGAGAGGGCACCAAACCAGCUGUUUGACAGAUGUUAAGUCAAGCAAGAGGUUACACUACAAACUGGUAGGAAAUAGGCUGUCACAGACCAGGAUCAGUUCUUCCUUUAGCCCCAGGCUUGACUUCUCCUAGCACUAGAAAUUUCCUUGGCCCUCCUUCUAACUCCUUGGUAUCUCAUAGCAUCCUCCAUGCGCUUUUCAGUGCUCAGAUCUCUUCUGUGUCCUUGCCCUACUCUGUCUCUACACUGAGCCAGCCUCAGUUCUGCUGUAUCUGCUUUCUGUCCGAUCUGGACCAUCCUCUCUGAUGGCUUUCAGUGAGCUGAACAGGUGUCUUCUGCACCGGUUCAAUCCCAUCAGAUUUUCAUACUAUUUUUGAUUAUAAACUUCUCUAGGAAAGAUCCAGAGGGUGUUAUUCUCCGAAAAAGCUGAAAAUUUCCUGAAAAUUUCACCCUGAAAUGUGUACCAAGAAUGGAAAAGUAACUUAAGGCAGUUAAAGUUCAAGAAAUUUGUGGGAACCACUUCUUACAAAAAGAAAUGCAGGAAGUGAUGGCUACCACCCAGACUGUGGAUUAAGUUUAUUGUAGGAGCUCUUGCCUACUGUUUUCCUAACCAGGAGUAAGGCUCCCAAAUGAGCUAAUUCUCUAUAUCAAGCCAUACUAGUUCUGUAUAAACUGCAAUAUUUACUUAAAAUCCUCUUGCAGACAAUGUAGUGAUGCAAACUCUAUCCCAUAGCGGCUGUUCUCAAUGUCAUUAUUAUACAUCCCAUUAUCCCAAGACAGCUGGCAAAAUUGAGCUGGGCAAUUUACACACAACUUUGAAACUGUGCCUGCAUUUUUAACUGCGUCAGCAGCCGUGGCUUCUUCACAGCCUCUUGAAUGGGCAGCUACCAAGCAGUGUGAGGACACCGAGUGCUAAGAGAGAGCAAGAGCCAGAUCCAUCCCUCCUAUGCUGUGGUUAUGCUCCUUCCUGGUCACUUCGUGCUGUGUGUCUGUGCUGUGUGAGGUGAUCCACAACAGAAGUGAGGAUCUGCUGGGAGGCACCACAUUCUGAGGUUGCCUCACGCUGCUCGGUUUGACAGGCCCAUUGUUUGUACAACACUAAUACCAAACUGAUGCUUUUGGGAAACUCCACCCAUGAGCGAUCUGGAAAAGUUCCUGGUAUGCCCAAUGAGACUUCAGCCAAAUGCACUAAUUGUGGCUGCAAAAUAUUGUUUUAAAGGAAAAGGAUGGGAGAGAAGAGAGGGUGAAAACAGAGAGAGGAAGAGAUAAGCAAAGAGGCGACAGGCUACAGCAGGGCAGACAAUAUGGGAAGGGACAAAGCAUUCAUGCAGAAGGAGGCAGAGGCUGUGGGUGCAUUGGGAAGAACAUUCAACCUAAUUAUCAAAGGUUGUACAACAGCAAAAUGGUGUUCACAUUUGUCUUCUCCCUAUCUCUGGCCACAUUCCGUGUCUAUUGGCUUUGCCUCUUCCACCUCACGCCUCUAACACUUUGAGCCUUUUCCGUAGAGGUUUUGGGGUCUGGCAGAGCUCACAAAAUCACCUUGAAAAUUGCACUGUGACACAUGGCUUUCUUUCCCCAUCUUUCUACAGCUCCUGACCACCUCUGGCAGCAGUACAGGCUGACACUGGUGGCUGCACUGGCAUCUUGGACAAUCCAAUUUCUGAUGUAAUGGGUUUCCUGAUUGAGAAAAUAUCAUUAAAACUGAGAGAUCUGGGAAAAUGAGAUACUCUAAUGAGUUCUAAAAUGCUGCUUACAGACAGAUUCUGCAGUAUGGUAACACCAAAACCAAAUUAAUUCCAGAGCUUAACUCACCAGAUCUUCUCAAUUUUGAACAAAUGCUUCUUCUUAGUCAUGUGCUUUUCAAAGCCAAGUUAACCCAAGUACACAGACACUGAUGAAACUCAUGGUCUGAAGGGAAACAAAAAAGUCUAUAGGGGCUUGAUAGGAAGAAGUGUUGAGCCUGGAGUACGAAGGUAGCUAAAGCUGACUGGCUGCAACCUGAGCCCAGAGGUGCUUCAUCCAUGAAGCCCAAGAUGCCGGCCACACAUCUGCACAGGGUCCUGCCUGCAGAUAACGCCGCUGUAAAGAAAAACCCAAAACAACCACCCAGGGGGUGCAGGCUGAAAUGCAAGGAAGUAUCCCUGGCUCCGACAAAAAUGGGGCAGAUAAUGCAGGAAGCAGCAGCAGAGCUAAUACACAAGCAGCUGCCCACCAAGCUUGAUUUCUAGAGUAAAUCUGGUGCCCAAGGUCCAAGGAAACCACUUGUUGUCCACCAUGAUGUCCAGCAGCUGCAAGUGUCCAGAAGUCAUGUAGGGGGUAGAUGCAGCUUCUGUACCAGAGACUAGGCUGGGAGAAGCAAGUGAAGGAGACAGUGCUGAAGGGCACCGCUGCUUCAGAGAGAGAAUGCAAUGCAAUUAAGUGUUUUAGAAAAUAGGGGGGAGGAGACAAUACUGGCACCAGGAUUUCUCCAGAAAAAGCUUAGAAAUGAAGCUCAACAUGGCAUGAAAACAGUUUCGCUUCCAGGGCAGCUUAAAAUCCAUCAGGGAGGAAAGCUAUUCUGGCUCUCCCAUGUAACAAAUCAAGAUACGCUGUGCAAUGUCAUCAUUAUUAAAAAAAAAACAAACCACAAAACUAAUUCUGAACAAUCGGAAACAGGCAGGCAGGGCUGGUUUAUAUUUCUUCCAAGACCUUUUCCCUCUAAUUUCAGAAGAGAGGGAAAAAAAAAAAAAAAAAAAAAAAA